rnacentral:rRNA from 1 species
GGCCAAGCGAAUAAGGGCACAUGGCGGAUGUCUCGGCGUUGGAAGGCGAUGAAGGACGUAGGAACCUGCGAUAAGCCCAGGGGAGUUGGUAACCGAGCUGUGAUCCUGGGAUCUCCGAAUGGGGCAACCCUCCCGCAAGGGAAUCGUGCGCUGAAUGCAUAGGCGUACGAGGCGAACCCGGGGAACUGAAACAUCUCAGUACCCGGAGGAAAGGAAAGCAACCGCGACUCCGUAAGUAGCGGCGAGCGAAAGCGGAUCAGCCGGCAGACUGUGUGAAGCGUCUGGAAAGGCGCACCGCAGAAGGUGAUAGUCCUGUAGGACAGGAGCCGGUCAGCCCUCGAGUAGCAUCGGGCUCGUGAAACCCGGUGUGAACAUGGGGGGUCCACCCUCCAAGGCUAAGUACUCUCCAACGACCGAUAGUGAACCAGUAAGGCGACUGAAUGAUGAAAACCUCCCUUGCGAAGGGAGUGAAAGAGCAGCUGAAACCAUGUGCUUACACAGCGGUUGGAGUCCGCCUUCGGGCGGAUGACAGCGUGCCUUUUGCAUAAUGACCCGGCGAGUUACUCUGUACGGCGAGGCUAAGGGCUAGCGGCCCGCAACCGGAGCGAAAGCGAGUCCGAAAUGGGCGUCAAGUCGUACGGGGUAGACGCGAAACCUAAGUGAUCUACCCAUGGUCAGGAUGAAGGGCGGGUAACACCGCCUGGAGGUCCGAAGCCGUGACCGUUGAAAAGGUCUGGCAUGAACUGUGGGGAGGACUUAAAGUGUAAUCAAACUGGGAGAUAGCUCGUUCUCUCCGAAAUAUUUUUAGGAAUAGCCUCUUGCGGCAAGCGGUGGGGGUAGAGCGACUGGAUGCCUUCGAGGCCCUACCCGGGUACUCGAGGCAACCAAACUCCGAAUACCAUCGCCCAAGGCAAGGGAGUCAGACCACGAGUGACAAUAUUCGCGGUCAAAAGGAGAACAAUCCAGACCGCCGGCUAAGGUCCCUGAACUUCGCUGAGUUCGAAAGGAAGUCGAACUGCUCUGACAGCCAGGAUGUUGGCUUAGAAGCAGCCACCAUUUAAAGAGUGCGUAAUAGCUCACUGGUCGAGGAGUUCGGCGCCGAUAAUGAUCGGGAAUAAGCGAAGUACCGAAGCCGCGGACGCGCAAGCGUGGUAGGAGAGCGUUCCUCUCCGCUGAGAAGGCAUCCCGGAAGGGUUGCUGGAGCGUGAGGAAGUGAAUAUGCCGGGUUGAGUAACGAUAAUGCAGGUGAAAAUCCUGCACGCCGAAAGCCCAAGGUUUCCUGGGGAAGGUAAAUCCGCCCAGGGUUAGCCGGAUCCUAAGGCGAGGCCGAAAGGCGUAGUCGAUGGACAGCAGGUCAAUAUUCCUGCGCCCCCGCAGCGAUCAAACCGGGUUGCGGAUCAUCAAGCUCCGUGAAGGCACCAGCAUGCCGAGGCCCUUGUGGCCGAUACGGGGGGAGGUGGUCCCGAGAAAAGACCCGGGGGCAAAGCGGGGUCCGUACCAAAACUGACACAGGUGGGCGUGGCGAAUAGCCUCAGGCGCUCGAGAGAACGGUCGUGAAGGAACUAGGCAAGUUAACCCCGUACGUUCGCAACAAGGGGGCCCUACUCGCAAGAGAGGGCGCAGAGAAAAGGCUCUGGCGACUGUUUACCAAAAACACAGCUCUGUGCGAACACGCAAGUGGACGUAUACAGAGUGACGCUUGCCCGGUACCGGAAUGUCACGGAAGUGGGUUAGCUUCGGCGAAGCUCGCGACCUAAGCACCGGUAAACGGCGGCCGUAACUAUGACGGUCCUAAGGUAGCGAAGUUCCUUGUCGGGUAAGUUCCGACGCGCAUGAAUAGCGUAACGACUGGAGCACUGUCUCCACGACCGACUCGGUGAAAUAGUAGUGGCAGUGAAGAUGCUGCCUACCCGCGGCAAGACGGAAAGACCCUAUGGACCUUUACUGCAGGCUCUCAUUGGCCAUGAGCAUAUGUUGCGUAGGAUAGGUGGGAGGCUUUGAAGCCCGGGUUUCGGCUCGGGCUGAGCCAACGGUGAAAUACCACCCUUCAUACGUUCGUGGCCUAACCCCGAUUCCCGUGAAGCCGGGCGGGGGACCGUGUGUGCUGGGCAGUUUGACUGGGGCGGUCUCCUCCAAAACAGUAACGGAGGAGCGCAAAGGUCGGCUCAACGCGGAUGGAAACCGCGUGUCGAGUGUAAGAGCACAAGCCGGCUUUACUGCGAGACCGACGGGUCGAGCAGUCUCGAAAGAGGGCUCUAGUGAUCCUGCGGUUCCGUGUGGAAGGGCCGUAGCUCAUCGGAUAAAAGGUACCCUAGGGAUAACAGGCUGAUCGCGCCCGAGCGUCCACAGCGGCGGCGCGGUUUGGCACCUCGAUGUCGGCUCAUCGCAUCCUGGGGCUGAAGGAGGUCCCAAGGGUUCGGCUGUUCGCCGAUUAAAGCGGUACGCGAGCUGGGUUCAGACCGGCGUGAGCCAGGUCGGUCCCUAUCUGUCGUGGGCGUUGCAGGUUUGAGAGGAGUCCUCCCUAGUACGAGAGGAUUGGGAGGGACCCAUCCCUGGUGAUCCAGUUGGGGCGCUAGCCCCACCGCUGGGUAGCUACAUGGGGCAGGGAUAAACGCUGAAAGCAUCUAAGCGUGAAGCCCCCCUCAAGAUGAGACCUGCGUGCACUUCUGUGCGUGAGACCCCUGGAAGACCACCAGGUUGAUCGGCCGCAGCUGCAAGAGUGGUAACACCUUCAGGCGAGCGGUACGAACGGUCGAGAGCUUGGCCGC